UUUCUUCGGAGAGUUUGAUCCUGGCUCAGGAUGAACGCUGGCGGCGUGCCUAAUACAUGCAAGUCGAGCGGACUGAUUAGAAGCUUGCUUCUAUGACGUUAGCGGCGGACGGGUGAGUAACACGUGGGCAACCUGCCUGUAAGACUGGGAUAACUUCGGGAAACCGAAGCUAAUACCGGAUAGGAUCUUCUCCUUCAUGGGAGAUGA
rnacentral:rRNA from 1 species